UCAGAGAGGAGGGACUCAGAGUUCACAGAUCUGACAUGAUCUAAUCGUGUCUGAAAGAGACUGUGGAUGAAACCAUUCAGUCUGACUCUUCUCAGAGUGAACACUUGUACAAUGAAUCUUCAUUCACUUAUUCUGCUCUGUGUCUCAGCAGCUGCUGUCUUUGGAAAUACCAUCAAACCAGACACAACAGAUGUUGGUGCUGAUGAGGGACAAAAUGUUAAGUUGUCCUGUAGUUAUUCCUCCACUGGAGCUACAGAGUAUUUCUUCUGGUACCAUCAGUAUGGAAGAUCAAAACCUGAAUUUCUUGUUUCCACCUUCAGUACUGAAAAAAAGCCUAAAGAAUCUAAAGUAGAUUCAAGAUUCUCUGUUAAAGUAACAAAAAAGGAACAAAUCCACGUGGAUCUGGAGAUCUCCUCUGCUGCAGUAUCAGACUCUGCUCUGUAUUACUGUGCUCUGAGGCCCACAGUCACAGGAAACACUGUAACUCUGUACAAAAACCCUUCUGUAUUUAAUCCAAUGAGAACAAGUAAUAGACACAGAGACAAAGACUAGAGAAU